rnacentral:siRNA from 1 species
AUAACCUCUGAAACAACCAUUAGU